GAUAUUAGAGUGGGUGCCCUGUUACAGGAGGGAAAUGGAAGUGAGAAUCAGGGAUGAAGGGAGAAAAGUCAAAACAUGGUGUGAUGAACACAACAAGACUUUGCAGCAAGGUUGGCAAAAAGUGGCAAAGAGGCCUUCACCAUCUGCUAAGAGUUGUGCACAGCAGGUGCCUCUGAGAAACAAAUGCUUUUUGUAGAAGUGAGGGGUGCCCAUGGUCAGGGAGGCAGGGACCAGCCUCUGCCCUCUCAGCCUGUGACACCUGUCUCCUCUUACCUGGCAGACUCCUACUCAGCCCUCACAGGCCUCUAGGCUGCCUCAGAAGCCAUGUGGUUAGGGAAGGAGCAAUGGCUUUUUGAACCUCCAUUUCUUCAUCUGUAAAAUGGGAAUAAUGACAAUACCUACCUCAGAAGGUUGUGUUGGGAAGGAAGUGAGAUGAGCAAAAUACACAAAGUACCUGCCCCUUGGAGCUCAUACUCUAGUGGAGGGAGAUAGGUGGUAGACAAAUAAAUAUGUAAUGUCUCUACUGCUGUAUCCGCAGUACCCAGAACUGUGCCUAGCACAUAGCAGGUGCUCAGUUAAUAUUUGUAGAAUGAAUAAGUGAAUGAAUGAAAGUCAGUGGUAAAUGCUAUAAAAAGAAAUAAAGCAGGAUAAGGGGAAAGGGAGAGCUGGGGGUGCUGGCAGGUCGGAGAAGCCAUUACUGUUAGUGCUGGUGGUGAGGGAAGGCCUCCCUGAGAUAAGAUUUGAGUGAAGAUUUGAAGGAAAUGAGUGAACAAACUAUGAGACUAUCAGGGGCCAGGGGGGCCAGGAAGAAGUGGGCUCCAGGUUUAGUGGGGAGGCCAGUGUGGCUGGAGCAGAGUGAGGGACAGAGAAUGGGGGAAGCUGAGGUCCCCUGUGUAGGUGAGCUGAGAAUGUGGUAGGAGUCCCCUCCGCACUCCCAGGGACAAGACCUAGAAAAGUCAAUGCUGCUCAGCCCUUUCCCAGGCAGUUGGCUGGGGCCAGCCCCUAAAAACAGUAGCACAAACUCCUCUCAGGUACUGAGCACUCCUGUGUGCCAGGCCCAGCUCUACUGGCACAAACUCAUGGAACAUCACCAGCCCUGGGAAUGGGUACUAUUAUUAUCUCAUUUUCAGAGCAGGCAACUGAGACUCUGGGAAGCAGCUAACCUUGGAACCGGAACUGGGUCUCUCUGAUACCAGACCCUGGCUUGCUCCUACCACAUUGUCUUGAAAUCCUUUGUUUACAGCUCGCCUUCCCCUCUCGGCUGCAGAAGGCCUGUCUCAGUCUCAUUCAUGGUUUUCUUCUACUCCCAGGGUCCCAAGUGUCAAAAUCUGCCUAAGGAGCAAAUAAAUGAAUGAGCCUACAAGGCAAGCCCCUCUUCGCCUUCCGGGCCCAGUUCACGCCUUGGUUGGCAGGUCAGCUGGAGGGAGCCGGUGUGCUGCUCCUGCAAUGUGUCCUGGGCAAGAAAGUGGUAGGGGUGGGCGGG
rnacentral:lncRNA from 1 species